rnacentral:misc_RNA from 1 species
GUGAAUCAUCGAAUUUUUGAACGCAAAUUGCACUCUCCGGUUUUCCGGGAGAGUAUGCCUGUUUGAGGGCCAGCUAAAUUAAAACCGGUUUAGAAGUUGGUUGGGUUUUCACGGGUAAGGUUGGCGGGAAUUUGGGCAUCUUUAAACGGAAAGGUUUUUAACGGAUUUAAAUUUUCUUUACGUCUCCGGGACGGUUCUAAAGUUUUCUU